ensembl:snoRNA
CUUCCUCACUCUGGCUCCAGGGGCUUUAUUUCAUCUGUGAAGUGCCCUGGUGUUGCCUGAGGAUGGACAAGGAAGCACACGUCCGUCCCCACUCACGCUCUGUUUUCUUCUGGGGCCUCCACGUUGAGCUGACAGU